rnacentral:rRNA from 1 species
UAGAGGAAGUAAAAGUCGUAACAAGGUUUCCGUAGGUGAACCUGCGGAAGGAUCAUUAUUGAAAUAAACCUGAUGGGUUGCUGCUGGCUCUUCUGAAGGGCAUGUGCACGCUUAUCAUCUUUAUAUUUCCACCUGUGAACCUUUUGUAGACCUGGAUAUCUCUCUGAAAAUGCCUGGCAUAUUUUGGGGUAUUUGAGGAAUUGACAUUUGUCCUUUCCUUACAUUUUCGGGUCUAUGUUUUUCCACAUAUUCCAUGUAUGUUUAUAGACUGUGUAAUAAAGUUGGGCUUUUAGUGCCUAUAAAACUUAUACAACUUUCAGCAACGGAUCUCUUGGCUCUCGCAUCGAUGAAGAACGCAGCGAAAUGCGAUAAGUAAUGUGAAUUGCAGAAUUCAGUGAAUCAUCGAAUCUUUGAACGCAUCUUGCGCUUCUUGGUAUUCCGAGGAGCAUGCCUGUUUGAGUGUCAUUAAUAUAUAUAUCAACCUCUUCAGUUUUUUUCCUGUCGAGUGGUUGGAUGGUGGGGGUUUGCUGGACUCUCUUUUUGAGGUCAGCUCCCCUAAAAUGCAUUAGCAAGACAAUUUGUUUACUGCUCAUUGGUGUGAUAACUAUCUACGCUAUUGACGGUAAAGCAUGGUUUAGCUUCUAACAGUCCAUUGGCUUGGACAGGCCUUUUUAUUAGAUGUGACCUCAAAUCAGGUAGGACUACCCGCUGAACUUAAGCAUAUCAAU